rnacentral:rRNA from 1 species
UACGAAGGGUGCAAGCGUUACUCGGAAUUACUGGGCGUAAAGCGUGCGUAGGCGGUUCGUUAAGUCUGUCGUGAAAGCCCUGGGCUCAACCUGGGAAUUGCGAUGGAUACUGGCGAGCUAGAGUACGGUAGAGGAUGGUGGAAUUCCCGGUGUAGCGGUGAAAUGCGUAGAGAUCGGGAGGAACGCCCGUGGCGAAAGCGGCCGUCUGGACCAGUACUGACGCUGAGGCGCGAAAGCGUGGGGAGCAAACGGG